UGUAGCUCAGUGGUAGAGCACUUGCCUAGCAUGUGUGAGGCUCUGGGUUCUAUUCCCAGUA
rnacentral:tRNA from 1 species